rnacentral:rRNA from 1 species
UACGAAGGGGGCUAGCGUUGUUCGGAACUACUGGGCGUAAAGCGCGCGCAGGCGGUCUUCCAAGUCAGUGGUGAAAGCCCGGAGCUCAACUCCGGAACUGCCAUUGAAACUGUAAGACUUGAGGAUGAGAGAGGUGAGUGGAAUUCCCAGUGUAGAGGUGAAAUUCGUAGAUAUUGGGAAGAACACCGGUGGCGAAGGCGGCUCACUGGCUCAUUACUGACGCUCAGGCGCGACAGCGUGGGGAUCAAACAGG